CCCUUCGAUGUUCUGGGCCGCACGCGCGCUACACUGACGAUGGCAACGAGUUUUUCCUUCGCCGAAAGGUGUGGGUAAUCUUUUGAAACAUCGUCGUGCUGGGGAUAGAUCAUUGCAAUUUUUGAUCUUGAACGAGGAAUUCCUAGUAAGCGCGAGUCAUCAGCUCGCGUUGAUUACGUCCCUGCCCUUUGUACACACCGCCCGUCGCUACUACCGAUUGAAUGGUUUAGUGAGGACUCCUGAUUGGCGCCGCCGCCCCGGCAACGGAGCAGCGGACUGCCGAAAAGUUGUUCAAACUUGAUCAUUUAGAGGAAGUAAAAGUCGUAACA
rnacentral:rRNA from 1 species